rnacentral:rRNA from 1 species
GUACACGCUGUGACUAGCAUAUCAAUAAGCGGAGGAAAAGAAACUAACAAGGAUUCCCCUAGUAACGGCGAGUGAAGCGGGAAGAGCUCAAAUUUGAAAUCUUAAAGGGUUUCCCUUUACGAAUUGUAGUUUAAAGAAGUGUUUUCUGUUGAGGUUUUGGUAAAAGUUCUUUGGAAUAGGACAUCAUAGAGGGUGAGAAUCCCGUAUUUGACCUUUACCUUUCAACUUUGUGAUACACUUUCAAAGAGUCGGAUUGUUUGGGAAUGCAGUCCAAAAUGGGUGGUAAAUUUCAUCUAAAGCUAAAUAUUGGCGAGAGACCGAUAGCGAACAAGUAGCCGUGAGGGAAAGAUGAAAAGAACUUUGAAAAGAGAGUUAAACAGUACGUGAAAUUGUCAAAAGGGAAGCGUUUGACACCAGUGUUGUUUUUCUGAAAAUCAAUUAAAGAACUGUUUAUGCUAAGUUGUUUAGACUUUAUCAGCUAUCUGUUUAGUAUUGAGCUUUUCUUUAAUGCACUUUUCAGUUAACAAGUCAACAUCAAUUUCUUUUGCUGUAAAAAAGCUUGAGGAAGGUGGCUUGAGAUUCGUCUUAAGUGUUUAUAGCCUCUUGCCUAUGCAGUCGGAGAGAUUGAGGUCUGCAGCGUAGAUCCUUCGGGGCUAAAUGCAUUUGUGCUAAGUUAUAGCAUUUUAUAGACAACUUGUUGACUAUGAUUUGUCUUGUAGCUUACUCGCUUAUGUUAUUUUACCUACGCUUAGGAUGUUGAUAUGCAUGACUGAUAU